UACGUAGGUGGCAAGCGUUAUCCGGAAUUACUGGGCGUAAAGCGUGCGUAGGCGGUUCGUUAAGUCUGUUGUGAAAGCCCCGGGCUCAACCUGGGAAUGGCAAUGGAUACUGGCGAGCUAGAGUGUGUCAGAGGAUGGUGGAAUUCCCGGUGUAGCGGUGAAAUGCGUAGAUAUUGCUCGGAAGGCCGGAGCCGAAGGGGCCCCACUGGUACGUAACUGACGCUGAGGCACGGAAAGCGUGGGGAGCAAACAGG
rnacentral:rRNA from 1 species